rnacentral:rRNA from 1 species
AACGUAGGUACCAAGCGUUAUCCGGAUUUACUGGGCGUAAAGCGCGUUCAGGCGGUUUGGCAAGUCGGGCAUGAAAUCUCUCGGCUCAACCGGGAGAGGUUGUCCGAUACUGCUGGACUUGAGGGCAGUAGAGGGUGGUGGAAUUCCGGGUGUAGUGGUGAAAUGCGUAGAUAUCCGGAGGAACACCAGUGGCGAAAGCGGCCCCCUGGACUGUACCUGACGCUGACACGCGAAAGCUAGGGGAGCGAACGGG